rnacentral:rRNA from 1 species
CCCUUAGAUGUUCUGGGCUGCACGCGUGUUACAAUCGGGAGUACAACAAGAUUGCAAAUCCUAGUGGAUGAGUGGUUCUUCGAAAUUUUCUGAAGACUGGGAUAGUUGAUUGAAAUUAUUCAACUCAAACGAGGAAUUCCUUGUAAUUGUAAUUCAUUAUAUUGUAAUGAAUACGUCCCUGCCCUUUGUACACACCGCCCGUCGCUCCUACCGAUUGAACGAUCCGGUGAGUUAUUUGGAGUAGCUCUGGAAGUUGCAGAACUUCCUAUGUCACGAAAUUUUGUAAACCUUAUCGUUUAGAGGAAGGAAAAGUCGUAACA